CUGUAACAAUAUUUUUUCAAACCUCGUAGGUAUAUUUUUAUUUAGCUGAUAUUAUACUCAAGUAACUAUUGGUUUCGUACAGGCAGAGCCAUCUAUCGGCAGGAUUGUAUUGAUAACCCAGUUUGCUGUUAGCUAGAAUGACAAAAGAUGGCGUGUCGAUCGUCGUUAAUUUAUUUCCUUCCAAAAUCCCUUUUGAAUUUUCAUUUAUUAAAAAUAAAACUCAAUUUAUUAUUGUAUUGUUAGUUUUCGUUCCUUUUUGGAAAUAUUUUAUUACCCUCUUUAAGACAGAAGUUAAAGUUGUUGUCUAUAGGCGAAUGCAUCUCGUCACGUAUCUGUGGGCCGAGCUGUCAGCCGACACUUUGCAUAUUGGGAAGGAUGUAGACGGGUGGUUUUCAAAUUCUUCAGGGCCAAUGCGCCACAUUCUAAUUUUUAAAUCGCGAAUUAAUCGCAUAAUCGUAAGUAUUUUCUUCCAUAUUCGAAUGCAGUUUGUUGUGUUACGUUCAGUGCUAAUUCUUGUGUCCAUUAUUUUCAGAUGAUUUUAUUUUUAUAAAAUUACUGAGGACCCCUUCCAUUGACAUGAUUGCACGGAACCACAAGCCGGCUUCUUUUCUGGAAUGGGUCCUCAGAUUUGGAGGUUAACGUUCGAAGACAGAGCAGAGCUGAUGCUUCCCGAGCCUGGACCGGUGGACAGGAGGCUGUGACGAUCGGUAUGGAAGAGCUCCCAUUCCGUGGCUGCAGCGGCCACCUCUCCUCAACUCGGUUAGACGUCCCCAAGGUCAGAGCGUUCCUCGU